rnacentral:lncRNA from 1 species
AAGAGGAGAACCGCCCCUCCCUGGGCGCCUGCGUCACAUCCCCUCACUGAGAGCCCUGACUGCCUGGCAGCCACCUGGCCCUGGUCUGUUUCCAUGAUCGGGCCCCAGAUCCUGGGCUCCCUGUCGUGGCAGCACCAUCCUUCACUUUCUGAGGGGCGGGCAGGGUUUGCUGUCCCCUCCCUGCGGCCUGGGCCCGAGGCAGGGCCUGGCUUUCUUCUCCUGGGUGAGUGGGAACAGCCUUGAAUCCUGGGACACGGCCCGCUCGGGCUGGAGGCUCUCGUGCACUCAGUCGGCAAACCCGAAUCCACCGCGUCUCGGCCCCGUGCUGCCAGCAUCAGACUGGAGGAUGAUUCAUGGAUGGGACACCAUCUGCGCCCUUGAGGAGGCGGGGAAGCCAGGAAAACAAACAGCGCUUCACGGGGAGACGUGGGACCGGCCGGUUCCCGCCAGCAGACAUGGGGCUGUGACGAUUUCAGAGGGUCAGACGGACAAGUUGGCGGACCCACAGACAGACCACGUGCUGGCAAGCAUGGAAGACGGACACGCAGGUAGACAGUGUGCAGGCAGAGACCGGUGGACACAGACAGACAGGCACGGCAGGCGCUCAGGCCAGAAGACAGCCUGCCAGACACGCAGUGUGUUUUCCAGGCUCUCCCAGGGCAGCGAGGACGCCGUCUUGGUCGUGGCUGCAGCCACAGGGUCAUGCACAGAGGCUGGACCCGGCAGGUGUCACUGAACAGAGGGGAAAAGAGAGGCUCCUGGGCCCAAAGCCAGAACAGGGAGGCUCCCGCAGCCUCCUUCCCCAGGACGGUUUUCAUCCUGGCCGCAGACCAGAGCCCCGGGGGAGUCUGCGCACAGCUUCAGGCUCCGUGCGGUCCCGGGCAGGGAACCGGCUGCCUGGGUGGAGCGGGGCUGCCCUGCGGCCUCAGGUCACCUGCCCCCAGGCCUGCCCUUCCCCCUGAGCGCAGCGGGGGGGAUGGCUGCUCUUUUAGGGCCCCUGGAGGAGGCCACGUAGCCGAGGUGUGGUUUGGGGGCCAGUGGCUCCAUCUAUGGGAAGUGAUGGAUCCUGGGGGCCAAGGAUCGUGGGGUGGGGUUCUCCCCUCUGGGGCGUCCGCCUUCCGUGAAGGAGCUGCCCCUGCGCCUGUGGAGAGGAGCGGCUGCGUGGGCAUCGCUGAGUGACGCCGGCGAGACCGUCCGUUGGGCCCGUGUGAGGCUGAGAAGGGUUCGAGCGUGUGCACUUGAGGCUGGAGUCCGUGACGCGCUCUCCCGGCUCAGCGUGACCAGGUCAGUGAUGUUCCUGGACGGCAGCAGAGCCCCCGGUGCCAGACCCUCCCUGGGCCUCAGGUCUAGGGGGGCUGCGCCCACCCCGAGCGGCCCACUCCUAACUUUGGAGUUUGCUGCCGAUCAAGCUGUAACACAAGUUAAUUGCAUGGUUAUCGAGAGACAACGGAGCCACUCGAAUGCCGUUUCUGGGCAAUUACAAUUGUUUCCAACAGAGUCACCAUAUUGCAGCCACGAAAUAACGUGUCAUUUUGCAAGUAAUUAUGUAAUUAACUUGUCUCACGCUCUGGGUUGCACAACAAUUAAUUCACCCACAAUGAGAUCGACUCGGAGUCAGGCAGCCAGGCUUUGAAAGCCCCCCAGCGCGGGGCUGGGCUUCCAAGAUGACCCCAGCCCCACUCUGCGCCCCCCCUACCAGACCUUGCCGAGGUGCCUCCUCAGCCUAACACACGGCAUGGAACAUUCCAGAUCCAGCACCCAUGGCUGUCUCCCCGAACUCAUCCAGAAAAUGGGAUGGUCUGUUUCCUGGGACAGCCGCAAGGCUGAGGUCCACACUGUGAAGUGCUGUGCUUACGUGCGCUGGGGUCGCUGUCCUGGGCAUCACGAGGUCUGAGUGCCCGACUCUUGGGCCAGGAAGACCCACAGAGGCCGGCUGCCCCACGAAGCGGCCACGCAGGCCGUGCCUCGGCAGGUGUGGGCAGGUACAGUGGAGGGGAGAGAGCCAGCCACGAGGCCGUUCUCUCUGGAGCAGGGCAACCGAGCUGGAAUGGCUCCUCGGGGCCGGGGGUUCUGCCCCUGGAGGGGCCUUGCAACCUCAGGGGAGACCCGGGUAAAAGCUGGCCUCCCCUGCUUCCCCGCCACCAUGUGGGAGGAAGGUGAUGAAGCGUGGAGCGUAUGCGUGGUCCUGGCUGGGCUCUCCCGGAAGCUGCAGCUCACCCUGGAGGCCUGGAGUUGGGGGGAGCCGGGGAGACUGAACAUGCACCCUCAGAGGCUGCUGCAGUCAUGCCUGCCUGGGGCUUGUGGGUGGUGGGCGUGUGGAAGGCCUUGCACAGUCGCUGUGGGGAUCCCCUCUGUCACUAAGGCGCCUGUGGGACCCCGCCCUCCUGCUCCCCUUGGCUGCCUGGCGUCAGAGAUAGUCUAACAAGGGGCCCGGGGUCCGUGGAGGCCGGCACCUGCUUCGGCCCCCACCUCUGGGUCUAAAGCUGGACCAGAGCGUCUGUGUUGGGGAAUGAGUUUGAUCUUAGCCUUGACGCUGCGGCAGGGCCCGUCGUGAAAUCUCACCUGAGCCCUCUCCUCUCCCGGGCCUGGUCCUAGAAUGUGCCCUCUGUCAUACACAGAGCCACAGGUGGAAUGCACGUGACACUCCUGCCUGGGAAACCUCUAAGCAGACCCAACCGCCCUCUCCCUCCCAGCUGUCAGAGAACGUCAAGAGCAGACCAAAUCUGGCACCGAGUGACCCCGGCAGCCGGGAGCUGCCCCGCGAAAGGGAGGCUAAGGGAAGAUGCUUGUGGCUGGGCCGGGCUUCAUCUCGGUGAACGUUCCGGUGAGAUGAUUCUGUCUGCAAGUGGCUAUUAAGCUAGAGAUUACCUCCAAACUAUAACUGACUAAAAAUGAACGAAUAAAGAUGAGCUGAUAUGAAGGUGAGUUGGCCGAGAAAAAUACUGGACCAAGAGUGGUUUGUCAUGAAGAGUUCCCAUUGUGGCUCAACGGGUUAUGAACCUGGCUAAUAUCCAUGAGGAUGCGGGUUCGAUCCCUGGCCUCGCUCAGGGGGUUGAGGAUCUGGGGUUCCCGUGAGCUGUGGUGUAGGUCGCAGGCACAGCUGGGAUCCUGCAUUGCUGUGGCAGUGGUGUAGGCUGGCAGCAGCAGCUCUGAUUUGACCCCCAGCCUGGGAACCUCCAUAGGCCACAGGGGCAGCCCUAAAAAG